GAUGAACGCUAGCGGCAGGCCUAACACAUGCAAGUCGAGGGAGAAGCCCUUUCGGGGGCAGAAACCGGCGCACGGAUGCGUAACUCGUAUGCAACCUACCUUUCACAGGGGGAUAGUACGACGAAAUUUGGAGUAAUACUCAUAAUAUCAUUGGAUGGCUUCAAUUGAUAGUUAAAACGGCGGUGGGGAAAGAUGGGCAUGCGUCCUAGUAGCUAGUGGGAGUGGUAACGGCACCCCAAGGCUACGAUAGGUAGGGGUCAUGAGAGGGAGAUCCCCCACACUGGAACUGAGACAGGGACCAGAAUCCUACGGGAGGCAGCAGUGAGGAAGAUUGGGCAAUGGUCGGAAGACUGAACCAGCCAUGCCGCGUGCAGGAAGAAUGCCUUAUGGGUUGUAAACUGCUUUUAUAUGGGAAGAAUAAGGUGUACGUGUACAUUGAUGACGGUACCAUAUGAAUAAGCAUCGGCUAACUCCGUG
rnacentral:rRNA from 1 species